rnacentral:RNase_P_RNA from 1 species
GACGGUCGCGGGCGGUUCGCCGUCCGAGGAAAGUCCGGGCUCCGCAGAGCAGGGCGCUGGGUAACGCCCAGUCGGGGUGACCCGAAGGAGAGUGCCACAGAAAUGACACAGCCCCGGCCGGGCCGGGGCAACGGUGAAAUGGUGGGGUAAGAGCCCACCGGCGGCCGGGUGACCGGCCGGCCAGGUAAACCCCGCCCGGAGCAAGGCCGAACAGGGACCGGACGUCACGUCCGGAGGCGGCUCGCCUCAGUGUCCCGGGUCAGGCCGCUCGAGGCGCCGGGCAACCGGCGUCCCAGAUGGAUGACCGUCCU